CUCCGCCCCUCUCUCAUCCCUCAAAGUCUCUGCAUCUCUCUUUUUUCUUUUUUUUUUUUUUUUUUUUUUUUGACAAUUCGAAAGCUACAAGGAAGAGAGAAGAUGAUGAUGAUGAUGAAGAAGAUGAAGAUGAUUGAGUUAUGGGUUUGUAUUUGAUUUUGAUUUUGGGUUUGGGUUAUGGGUUUUCAGUUAAUGGUUUAAUUUUGAGUUAAUUUUCUGUGGAUUUUGGGUUUGAUUUUGAGUUGAUUUUGUUUUAGGUUGAUUUUGAGUUGGGUUUGGGAUGGGUUUUCCAAUGGGGUUUGAGUUGAUUUUAAGUUGUUUUUUGUUGAUUUUGAGUUAUUUUUUGUUUGAUUUUGUUGAUUUUGUUUUUGAAUUAUCAAAUGUUGAAAUGAGUUUUGUUGAUUUUGUUGAUUGUGGUGGUAGACCGGUGAUAGUUGGGUGGUGUUGUGUUUGUAGCAACACGGAGAGGGUAGAGCAGAGAGAGGAGAUGAGAGGAAUUGAAGUGUAAUUUGGUAAUUGCCUGAAGAGUCCAACGGAUAGCUAAGAAUGCGCAUAGACUUUUUCUAAAAUGGACCUCUAGAACUCCAUAAUGGCUUGCACGUUCUUAGCGUUGGCCCAAAACGCAACUUUUUCCAAAAAGUUGCGUUUUAUGCUUAACCAAAUGGGUUUUCCACUCCAGCUUUCUUCAAAACGGGCUUUUUGGGUCCAAAACGUUAAAACAAACGGGCACAAAGAGAAUCUACAUUUCUCCUUAAACUCUCUUUUGUCUCCAGCUCUAUUUCUCAAUUCCUUUAUUCUUUUUUGUGCUUCUAUUGCUUCCGUAAUUUCUUUUCAUAGUAUAGUCUAUUAGUCUUAGCAAUGGAUUCAGCUUCGAGUACAAUUUCGAAGUUCAAAUGCUACUUCAAGUCUGAACGCAGCAGAACCACUUUUGUAACUUCUUCUUGUCCAAUAUGUCAAAUCUGAUGACAGUCAAGUUUGAUCCCAGCAAUUAUAUUAAGGGUCCGGUUAAUAUAUGCCUUAAUAAAUCUGUUUUUGGAAAAAAUUUAUCGAAAAUUGAAAAAAUUGUCAAAACUUUUUCAAUUCCCAAUAAAACUUUUUCUAAAAAUGGUAUACUAUUGUUUGCCCUUAGGACACACGUUAGUAAAAUCCUUAUAUUAAUUGGAAGCAUCAUAGUAACUUCCAUGCUUAGCAGUUAGCACCUACUCACUGCUUGAGCAUGUGGCUAGAACAGUGGUUCCACCUCCUCAAUAUCUCAAGGAUUUAGAUGGUAAUCAAUUGAGGGUCUUGAAUCCAGAAUUUCAUAUUUGGAAAGUCAAAUAUCAAGAAUUAAUAACCCUUAUAAAAACUCAACCUUGUCACCUACUAGGCUACUACAUUAGCUUUGAUGGUAGGACAGAAAACUGCAAUAUCAGUUCGGCUUACUCUGAAGAAUAGGUACACUUUUAUUCUAUAAUUCGUACCAGUAUUCUCAAAUCUUAGAUUUGAGAUUCACACUGUAAGAAAGGAAAAUGAUUCAGUUGCAAGUUACUUCUAAAAAAUCAGGGAAAUUAAAGAUAAGCUUGGAGCUGUGGGAAUUGAGAUAGAAAAUGAGGAAAUGCUCUACAUUGUGUCGAAGGGUCUGCCUAAGGAAUGUAAUCUUUUUUCCCCAACCAUUCGAACUAGAAACAAAGUUCUCGCGUUUGGGCAACUUCAGGUUCUUUUAGAAGCAGAAGAAACUUCUUUGAGAGGUGACAAGUGCAAGGACUGAUACACCAUGGCCAUGCUUGCUACAGCAGGUCAUAAGCCAUAAGUCUAUUCUCUAUUCCUCCUCCCAAUCCACACUCAAAUAGAGGCAGGGGCGGAGGCUAUAAUAAUAGUCAGAGAUUGAAGAGACAUUCCACAGCAAGGCUCUCCACAGAAUCAUCAAUUCAGUCCAGGUAAUAACAGUAGCUUUCAGGCUAAGAAUCAGUUUGUCAAAUCCGUGGCAAAACGGGAUACUUGGCUAUUGAUUAUUUCCAUAUAAUGGACCACUCAUAUCAAGAUUUGAGCAACUUGACUAUGCAACAACCUUAAGGUGUAACUGAUCAGGUCAUAGUAGGUAAUGGUUCUUCUCUACUUAUAACACAUGUAGGUACUGGUCAAUUACACACACACAAAUUUAAGCCUACACUCAUCCUUGGAGAGUUAAGUCCUAUACAUUUCUUCAAAAUUUCACUCAUAAGUUAUGUAAAGAUAAUCAAAUUUUCUCUCACUCAAUCCAAAUAUGCAUAAGACAUCCUACAAAGAUACAAUAUACAAACUUGUAAACCUUGCUAAUCACUCUGCUUACCAGGCCAAGACUCAAUCCUCAUGAGAGCAUUCCUCUCAAUGAUCCUGGUCCUUUUUGAGGCAUGGUUGGAGCACUCCAGUGUCUAACCUUUAUUAGAUCUUACCUUGCUUUUGCAAUUCAUAAAGUCUUUUUAAGUUUAUGAGUGCCCCUACUAAUUUUCAUCUUCAAGCUUUGAAACAAAAUUUUCGUUACCUUCAAGGAACUCUGCACCAUGGUUUUUGUUAUACUCGUGUCCCAUUGGUUAUUUUUGCAUUUACUUAUGCAAAUUGGGCAGGUGAUCCAUUUGAUAGGAUCUCAGCCUCUGGGUUUAUUAUCUUUCUUGGCCAAAAUCCCAUUGUCUGGUCUGCAAAGCAGUAAGCCACAAUGUCCCAAUCCUUCACUAAUGCAGAGUAUUCAAAUUAAGUUUGGUUUCAACUCUAAUCAAUUAGCUGACAUCUUCACCAAGGCUUUGCCCUCCUCGUUUCCUUGAUCUUCAAUCCAAACUCAUAGUGCCUCUCUC